UUAUAACAAGGCAUGGAUAGGAUAUUUGUAUUAUUUGUACAUAGAAAUAUGUAAUUGGAGUUCCAUUUGGGAAGUUUCUAGAAUUGAAGUUAAAGUUGUGAUUUAGAUGGAAUCCACUAUAGAACCUUAUAAAAAGAUUUAAGGUGGUUAUCAUGGUGGGAUCCACUUGUAAAAUCUUCUAGAAAGGUAGUUAUCUUAGUAAAGUCCAGUACUAGAAAAAUUCUAGAAAGUUUCAAGAUAAUUGGACAAAAUAUAAAUAAGACUAGUUGAAGCCAUUUGGG
rnacentral:lncRNA from 1 species